rnacentral:sRNA from 1 species
AACUUGUGACUGUUCAGGGUUAAUAAAGUGAACGUGUGUAUCGAUACCACCUGCAGUAAUGAUUUUACCUUCUGCAGAAAUGACAUCAGUCGUAGCACCAAUAAUAAUAUCUACAUUAUCCAUAAUGUCAGGGUUACCUGAUUUACCGAUUUUCAAGAUGUAACCAUUUUUGACACCAAUAUCAGCUUUAACAAUUUUGUCAUAAUCAAUUAUCAAGGCGUUUGUAAUGACUAAAUCUGGAACUUGUUUAUCAUCACGCGUUACGUUAGGGUUUUGAGCCAUCCCAUCUCUGAU